rnacentral:rRNA from 1 species
ACCGGAUAGGACGAAAGUUUAAAGGUGCUUCUGGCACCGCUGAUGGAUGAGCCUGCGGCGCAUUAGCUAGUUGGUAGGGUAAAGGCCUACCAAGGCGACGAUGCGUAGCCGACCUGAGAGGGUGAACGGCCACACUGGGACUGAGACACGGCCCAGACUCCUACGGGAGGCAGCAGUAGGGAAUCUUCGGCAAUGGGCGAAAGCCUGACCGAGCAACGCCGCGUGAAUGAUGAAGGCCUUCGGGUUGUAAAAUUCUGUUAUAAGGGAAGAACGACUUUAGUAGGAAAUGGCUAGAGUGUGACGGUACCUUAUGAGAAAGCCACGGCUAACUACGUGCCAGCAGCCGCGGUAAUACGUAGGUGGCGAGCGUUAUCCGGAAUUACUGGGUGUAAAGGGAGCGCAGGCGGGAAGACAAGUUGGAAGUGAAAUCUAUGGGCUCAACCCAUAAAUUGCUUUCAAAACUGUUUUUCUUGAGUAGUGCAGAGGUAGGCGGAAUUCCCGGUGUAGCGGUGGAAUGCGUAGAUAUCGGGAGGAACACCAGUGGCGAAGGCGGCCUACUGGGCACCAACUGACGCUGAGGCUCGAAAGUGUGGGUAGCAAACAGG